GUGCAUCGCUGCACAAACCAAACAUCACCAAAAAUAACUUGUAAAUAAAAAGAACUUGUUUGGUAAAUUGGUAAAAAAAGUUUGUAUUCAUCUAUCAGAAUGAGACACACACCAUUUAUUUCAAGAACUGUUUUGGUUAAAAAUGGGAAUGUUGAUGCUGCAUUUCGUGUUUUGAAUCGUAUUAUGGGAAGAGAAGGUUUCCUUGAGCAAUGGCGUCGUUGCAGAUUUUACGAAAAACCACCACAAGUACGUCGUCGUGUUAAUUACGAAAAAUGUAAAUCAUAUUACAACGAGGAUAUGCAUCGAUAUAUUCAAUUUACAAUGAGAACAAAUCGAGUCGAUGCAUUUCCUGGCAAUCGCUAAAUUAAUCAACACCAAAUCCGAUCAACGUAGAUAUGCUGAAUUCACCUCUUUCAAUGCACCUCUAUUCUUGGUUGUUGAUCGAUCACGGGUCUCAAUGUUUUUAAUGCUAGAAAAGAAAAAACAAGUUGUUGCAAAUACACAUAGCAGCAUAACCAGUGCAACAGUAUUUAAUUGACUAAAAAUUACAAGUUAAAAUACUUGCCUGCAGUUUUGUAAUAGUAACUCAGCUGCUGUUUUAUUUUUGAAAAAGAGAGAGCAGUGAAAGAAGAAAGCAACAUCAGUCAACAUGCAUCAGAAAAGAAAUUGAGGGGAGUUCAUCAAGCUAGCCGCGACAAUGAAAGCCGGAGAGGAGAGACAAUACAAGCAGGUUACAGGGGUAACAAAUUACAAUUCAAGGACAUCGUGGAGUACAUUGAAGAAGAAUAAAAUAAGUUGUAUUUUAUAAUUCUUUUUGAAAUCUUUUACAUUUUUUAAUUUUUUAUUUUAAAUAAUAUAAAUUUUUCUAUGGGGAAAAUUAAUUAACUUUUGAACUUAAUUUAUGGGAAAAUUAAAUGAAACCUUUUUUGUACUUUUGGGGGAAAAAUGAUAAUUUUUAAAUUAAAUUAGAUUUCAUCAUUACAUUUUACUAUAAAAAAACAUAAAUUUACUGCAAAAAAAUAUGAAAAUUUACUAAAAAAAAACUAGUAGAAUAUUACAAAAAAAUUAUGAAAUUUUAUAAAAUACAAAAUUUUUCAAGAAAAAAAUACAAAAAAUAAUAUAAAGAUUCGUAAAAAUAAAAAAUUUGAAUCUUACUUUGAAUUUUUAAUUACACUUUUAAUAUUUUAAAAAAAGGGGAAUAUUCAAUAAUUAAGUAAAAUACAAUAUUUUAAUCAAUAAUAUUAAUUAAAUAUUCAAAUAAAAUAAAAUAAAAAAAAAUAUUUAAAAAAAAAUAAAUAAUUAAUAUGAAAUUUUACAAAAAAAUUUUUAAAAAAUUAAAAAAAAAAAAAAAACAACAAACAAAAAUAGAAUAAUAAUAAAAAUUUUAGCUUAGAAAAUUGUAAGGUAUUUCUUACUGCGCGCGUCGGUGGUUAAUUAAUUCCGUGUGGGCGGCUGAUUUACCAAUAAAUAAUUCAAUUUGAAAUCAAAAUAAUAUAUAAUAAUAACAAUAAUCAAAAUAUAAACAAAAAAUAAUAUCUAAAAAAAUAUAAUAAAAAUUUUUAUUCUACAUCGCUGAAAAACCUUAGAAAUAAAAAAAUAUAAACAAUCAAUAAAUUCUCAAUAAUUAAAAAUAAAAACAAUACUUUUUUUUUAACAAUAAAAAAAAAAAAAAAAACAAUAAAUUUAAUAUUAAAUAAUUUUCAAGGUAAGAUAAAAGAAUGAAAGCUCAACAAUAUCACACCGAAAUGAAACUUGAAUCAAAUAAAAAGUAGGUCACGCUCGACUCGCACGGAGUAAUUCUAGCCGUUGAUCGUCCGUAAGGGGUCUCGAAUAGGACAUAGAAAUUUUUUUUUUGGGUUUAAUAUUUAUAAUUUUAAGUAAACAAAAUGUACCAAUAAUAGAUAAAUUUUUCUUUUUUUUAUUCGCUGCUGUCGUUUUUCAGACAGACAACGACCUUUUUUGGGGGGGAAUUGUUACGUCUUGGUAUCAAUAUUAUCAAUAAAUAAAUAAAUAAAUAAAUAAAAUAUUUAGUGAAUUCAAGGGCAUAUAAAAUACCGAGUAAGCAGUUAAAAUUUUUCCUUUUUAUUUUUCGAUUAUUUUAGCAAAAUCAACAUUUUACCUUUUUUCUCACAAUAUUAUGUUUUUUAUUUUAAAUUAUUUUUGCAAACCGCAGUUCAAAGUCACCUUAGCUACUCGAUAUUUUACAUCCGUUGACGUUACAAAUAAUUCUCUAAGUAAAAUAUUAAACGCUGACUAUCGUGGGACAGGUAAAAUAUAAUUGGUCAAGAUGUUCCCACUUUAAAUCAUCCCUUCUUUUUAAUUUGAUUUUUAUGAGAAUUAUUAUUUUGAUAAAUUAACGAGCUUCACUCUUGCGACAACUUUUGUUUGGACAAUAUCUAAAUUAAAUUUAAAU